CAAGAAAAUGUACCAUCGUAUAACUAAUGUUCACAUUGUUCCAUCAAUUGUAAAUUGUCGGUAGUAAAGAUUAAAAACCGGUCUAUGUUAUUUUCGUAAUCAAUACUUAAUAUUCAAUACUCAAUAUUUUAAAAAAAGCUCCCCAGCCGUAAUUUUUGUGCAAUUAUCUGGUAAUUUGAGUUCAGUUACUGAUUUUGUGUCUGUAGGAGCUGAUCUUUUAAUUUUUCUAACUCGUUGAAUUGUUCGUUUUAAUCCUGUUGUACUCGAAAAUUGGCCUGCUAUGUUGAAAGAGGUCUAAAACAAUAAACUAA